rnacentral:rRNA from 1 species
CACGUAGUUAGCCGAUGCUUAUUCCUUAGCUACCGUCACUUUCUUCUUCACUAAGAAAAGAAGUUUACAAUCCGAAAACCGUCUUCCUUCAUGCGGCGUUGCUGCAUCAGGGUUUCCCCCAUUGUGCAAUAUUCCCCACUGCUGCCUCCCGUAGGAGUCUGGGCCGUAUCUCAGUCCCAAUGUGGCCGUUCAACCUCUCAGUCCGGCUACUGAUCGUCGACUUGGUAGGCCGUUACCCCACCAACUAUCUAAUCAGACGCGAGCCCAUCUUUCAGCGGAUUGCUCCUUUGAUAUCAAACCGAUGCCGAUUCAAUAUAUCAUGCGGUAUUAGCGACCGUUUCCAGCCGUUAUCCCCCUCUGAAAGGCAGGUUGCUCACGUGUUACUCACCCGUCCGCCACUAAGUUAAAAGCUCGUCACUCCGAAGAGAUCUAAGCAAGUAACUUCGUUCGACUUGCUAUGUGUUAGGCACGCCGCCAGCGUUCAUCCUGAGCCAGGAUCAAACU